rnacentral:rRNA from 1 species
AUUGAACGCUGGCGGCAUGCCUAACACAUGCAAGUCGAGCGGAGCGGCGGACGGGUGAGUAAUGCCUAGGAAUCUGCCUGGUAGUGGGGGAUAACGUCCGGAAACGGGCGCUAAUACCGCAUACUAUCAGAUGAGCCUAGGUCGGAUUAGCUAGUUGGAGGGGUAAAGGCCUACCAAGGCGAAGAUCCGUAACUGGUCUGAGAGGAUGAUCAGUCACACUGGAACUGAGACACGGCCCAGAUUCCUACGGGAGGCAGCAGUGGGGAAUAUUGGACAAUGGGCGAAAGCCUGAUCCAGCCAUGCCGCGUGUGUGAAGAAGGUCUUCGGAUUGUAAAGCACUUUUAGUUGGGAAGCGGUACCUGCAGAAUAAGCACCGGCUAACUUCGUGCCAGCAGCCGCGGUAAUUC